rnacentral:rRNA from 1 species
UACGAGUGCCUCAAGCGUUAUCCGGAAUCAUUGGGCGUAAAGGUUGUGUAGGUGGUUGUUUUAGUCUUCUGUUAAAUUCUUCGGCUUAACCGGGGGCAUGCAGAGGAAACGGUACAACUAGAGGAUGCGAGGGGUCUGCGGAACUCAUAGUGUAGCGGUGAAAUGCGUUGAUAUUAUGGGGAACACCAAAAGCGAAGGCAGCAGACUGGAGCACUCCUGACACUGAAACAAGAAAGCGUGGGUCGCGAAUGGG